UACAGAGGGGGCAAGCGUUAAUCGGAAUUACUGGGCGUAAAGCGUGCGUAGACGGUUACAUAAGUCGGGUGUGAAAUCCCCGGGCUUAACCUGGGAAUGGCAUUUGGGACUGCAAGGCUUGAGUGCGGCAGAGGAGACUGGAAUUCCCGGUGUAGCAGUGAAAUGCGUAGAUAUUGGGAGGAACACCAGUGGCGAAGGCGGCUCACUGGACUGGUACUGACGCUGAGGCGCGAAAGCGUGGGGAGCAAACAGG
rnacentral:rRNA from 1 species